rnacentral:rRNA from 1 species
UGGGGAAUAUUGCACAAUGGGCGAAAGCUGAUGCAGCGACGCCGCGUGAGGGAUGACGGCCUUCGGGUUGUAAACCUCUUUCAGCAGGGAAGAAGCGAAAGUGACGGUACCUGCAGAAGAAGCACCGGCUAACUACGUG